CUACCACAAUCGAAAACAGCCACGAUCUACCACCUCCGAUCCCCACCGCCGUCGACAGCCACAACCCCGCCGCCGAAAGGGGUUGGAUUUAGAUUCAGACGUGAUGGGUUUUUUGGUUACAAUCCUAAUUUUUGUAUAAGGGAGUUUCUUCUCCGUCUCCUCAGACAGAUACCAUACGAGAUAGUAAAUAAAAUCUCAGAGUACCAUAAAGUCAUGACCUUUACUCACUGAACACUCUCUUCAUUAGAAACCUCAACACCCUAAUCAUGGCUUCCAAAGUUCUUCCCCAGGUGCUAAUUACAAUUCCGAGUGAAUCAAGAUCCUACUUAAAAGGAAAACUUCUGAUACAAUUAAAUGCAGGAUCAAGGGAAAUCAAGAAAAACUCUGAGAUUUGAAAUUUGGGCGAAUGUGCUGGUCUGACCAAUGUACUUUCUCCAUUUGAUUACUUAGUUUGAAUGUGAUAUAUUCUAAAUUUCAAAGACAGUGUCUAAAUUAUGUACUGUAAUUUAAUUUAUAAUGGUAUGUUUUGUGGUUUACAGGGACUUUUUUCCCACCCAUUUAGUUACUCUUAUUUUGUU